rnacentral:rRNA from 1 species
GAUGAACGCUGGCGGCGUGCUUAACACAUGCAAGUCGAACGGCAUCCCAGGAGCUUGCUCCUGGGUGAGAGUGGCGAACGGGUGAGUAAUGCGUGACCGACCUGCCCCAUACACCGGAAUAGCUCCUGGAAACGGGUGGUAAUGCCGGAUGCUCCGACAUGACGCAUGUCGUGUCGGGAAAGAUUCAUCGGUAUGGGAUGGGGUCGCGUCCUAUCAGCUUGAUGGCGGGGUAACGGCCCCACCCAUGGCUU